UGGGGAAUAUUGGACAAUGGGGGGAACCCUGAUCCAGCCAUGCCGCGUGUGUGAAGAAGGCCUUAUGGUUGUAAAGCACUUUAAGCGAGGAGGAGGCUCUUUUGGUUAAUACCCAAGAUGAGUGGACGUUACUCGCAGAAUAAGCACCGGCUAACUCUGUGCCAGCAGCCGCGGUAAUACAGAGGGUGCGAGCGUUAAUCGGAUUUACUGGGCGUAAAGCGUGCGUAGGCGGCUUUUAAGUCGGAUGUGAAAUCCCCGAGCUUAACUUGGGAAUUGCAUUCGAUACUGGGAAGCUAGAGUAUGGGAGAGGAUGGUAGAAUUCCAGGUGUAGCGGUGAAAUGCGUAGAGAUCUGGAGGAAUACCGAUGGCGAAGGCAGCCAUCUGGCCUAAUACUGACGCUGAGGUACGAAAGCAUGGGGAGCAAACAGGAUUAGAUACCCUGGUAGUCCAUGCCGUAAACGAUGUCUACUAGCCGUUGGGGUCUUUGAGACUUUAGUGGCGCAGCUAACGCGAUAAGU
rnacentral:rRNA from 1 species